CCUUUCCUCACACCUGACCUACACAAAGACUGAAAACGAAAAACAACUAAAUCAGAGGGCUCUUCGGGCUUUAUCCGAGCGUCCUUCUGGCUGGGACGGCUGCAGCAGAUGUUGGAGCCUGGGACAAAAUGGAUUUCCCCCCGCCGAGAGCAGCUUUUCUUGCCCUCCUUAAUGGAGGCUCCUUGAAAUGCUAAUGCCCCACCAUUAGUAUAGUGGUGGUCUAGCAUAGUGAUGGUGGGAAAAAAGGGAGAGACCGCGAUCCUGACUGAAAAACCUUUGUGACUGGACAACCCCUGGAAAAAUCAACUGUGCCGAUCCAGACGGACAAACGUCCAGUGGAGGUGUGAGAGAGAGAAAGCAAGAAAGGGGGGAUAUCCAUCUCACCACACACACAGCUGGGUCGUGUGAUGGCAUCUCAUCCACUCCCUCCCCCAAACCUCAUCCAUCCCUUCCUCAAAGUUCAGCUCCAAAGAGGGAUAAUGAUAAUCGUGCAUAUAAAGAGAGCGAUAAAAGAACCAAUUUCUGCUUUGCACCAAGCGUUUAAAGGAUCAGGGAACGAUUUUGAAAUUAGGAGGCUUAACUUGUUGAGAACAUUUCACAAUGAGCUGGUGCUUACUGUUAUCGGAGGAAUCAAACGGCGAAAGGCAAAGCUGCUUUGCUGAGUGGCGUGUACCACGUUUUUUUCACCCCUACGAGCACGGACGAGGAUGAACGCAGCAGUCUGGGAAAUGCAUUUUUGUAUUUGUGCAAAGAGGCAGCUCGGUAAAAGAUAAAAUCGGCUUGCAGGUGCGAAUGAGGCAAAACCUGACGUGGCCUCUUUGGUCAGAAUAUCAAAAUAUGAGGCUGGCUUCAUAUUUUUACUGAAAAGUGUGACUUGAAACUAUGCAGCGACUUCUGUGGAGUAUCUAAAGCUAGAUGAGGAUUUUUGCUCUCCUGCUAUUUCUUGCUUAACCCCCCCACCCCUCCUUCCCUCACACACACACACACACACUUGCAGAUUUAUCGCUCUGGACACUCUUGUCCCUGUCAGCAGCUGGCGGGCUGAGUCUUGUUUGAGCUUGUGUGUGUAUGAAUGCAUGUGCACAAAUGUGUGUGUGCACAUAGCCCAAGUAAAGCCUGCUGCUCUGCUCUGCUGUGCUGGCCAGGCCAUGUGGCCACUUUAAAGCUCCUUUCUGAGAGGCCUGUGAAGUUGUUAAGGAGCUCCACUACACUGGCAGUUGGCUCUGGGAAUCCCUCUGCCAGCUGUAGCCUGCACACACACACACACACACACACACACACACACACACACACACACACACACACACACACACACACACACACACACACACACACACACACACCCCUCCCUGCUUCACUUCCCUCUCUCUGUCUCUCAUGUUCCCCCUCUCAUGCUUACACUUGCUCCGUUUUUCUGUGUUCGCCGCCGUCGCUGUCCUCUCUUUCUGUCUGUAUUUGUUUGUCGCCUACUCUCUGUUUUUCAUGCUCCCUUUCUCCCUCCCUCUCUUUCGCUCUCUCUGUUUCCCUCGCUCUGUCUGUUCCUCGUUCUGACCGCGGUAUCUGCAUAAUCUAUGUAGUGAAACAUCAUUGCGGACCUUCUGUCUCUUCUGGCACCGGUCCGGCUGCACAUGUUUUCUCCUGUAUACCUGCUCAGAUCGCUGGAAAUGCACUUUGGCAACCGACACGGAGCCACGUGUGGCAAUGAUGGCUGUUUAGAAAAAAAAGAUGGUUUUGAAAGUGGGUUUGGGAAAAAAAAAAAAAAAGGGCCACAGCGAAUAGUUUGUAUCACUAAUUCUGCAAAAAAUUAAAGUUUAAUAUUUCUUCA